CUAGACUCUAAGACCUAUACACACAGUAAUCAGCCGAUAACACCGGAGACCUAUACAAACCGCUGUUUCCUAAUCAAAGAGAACGGAUUCUGGGCUUCUCCUUCACAUUUUUCAAGAGGUAGCUUCAUCUUCAAAAAAGAGAAAACAAAAAAGAAGCGCAGCCAUUUUUUGAACUUUAGAGACCAAACGCUAAAGACCAAAAAAAAGGUUUAAGCACAAAAGGCAUAGUUGAUGCUCUCUUCGUCUUCCUCCUCCAGUAGCUCGCCGGAAAAACGAGUUCCAGCAGCUCAACGGAUUAACAAGCUCCAGCCGAGCAACAACGAAAUAGGACACCCAAAAAACCAGUCCACCCCCUGAACCUCUGCGACACCGACCAGCUACGAUCACAACGACCCCAUUCCUUGCUUUUCCUCACUCUGUUUCGCUGCUGAAUACUCUAGCGACAGAUCUGGCCAGAUUUUACAUUUUUUCGGCGACCUCCAUUAAAAUUGAUGGAGUUUCAUUUGAGUCGAGUUUUUCCGGUUUGAGAUGCUGACUGACAACCACUGUGCUCAUUUAUAGGCGUUCAUCUUCUCAUCUGUUUCAUUUUGUUUUGUUGAUUUUGGUGCUGGCACCUUGAGUACCUUUUCUAGGUCUUGAGGUUUACUGGAAAUAUCUUAGAUUGAGCUGA